GCUGCCCUCCUGCCGCAGGCCCGCCCGGGCAUCUCUCGGCAAGACCACCACCCCCUCCCCGCCGCAACUGCUCUUCGCAGGACGGACAUCCAAGCCUGCCUGCUCCCCGAGUUCUCCCCCCCCCCCCCCCCCCCCAAAAUGCAGCCCCUCCCUCCCUGCGGGCCGGAGCGCGGCUGGGAGCUCAGCCUUUCCACGGGGAAGGGGAAGCAGGGCGGCGGCGAAGCCGGGCGGGUGGCAAAGUCUCUCGGUAGGGGUGCGUGCGCUCGCCUGCAGCAGAAGUCGGUGCGUGCUAUGUUUGUCAGGUCGGCUCCCCUUCCCCUCCCACCGCCGCUUAUUUUGCAGCCGAAAGGUUAUGCGCUUGCAGGGCUUACGCUGUAGAUACCCUACUGCUUGCUCAUCUUAAAGGCUGGCAAGGGAAGAGCGUGUUUUCACUUCCAGCUCAGUGUGGCUGUGCGCGGGGUUACUGUCGGUCACUGGUGGCGGGCGUGCACAUGUUGCUCCGGUUGCUUUCCUUUCCUUGGGAGGGAAGGGGGGGUGGCGGUUCUGUGCCUCCCAUCCUUCGCACCACGCUGCUGGUUUCCCUUCAAACGCUGCUGGCGAAAUGGUAACGCAAGCCUGUACUGCUGCGCGAUUACCUGGCAAAGUAAUUUUCAGCAGCCCCAGUGGUACGCUGCGUGAAUGAGUCUUCUGUUGCACGCAAAGCUUAUACCAAUGCUGUAUAGAUUUUAGCAUGAAAGGAUUACUUCGAGUGAGAAUUUUGAUCUUGGAUCAAGCGUUAAGUGCUCAAAAGAGACUUACGAAACCUCUAGACCAACACCAAACCUUUCUUUCUGAGCUGGCAGUGCGUGAUGAAGAAAAGAGUUAAAAGAAAAAGGAAAAAAAAAAAAUUCUGCAGUCUUUUCUAGGAGCAAAUUGAAAUGCUCACUCACUCUGGAAGAGCUGGGUAUCUCUACAGCAUUAAAACCACAGUGGUGAGGCAUCCACAGCAAUUUUUAAAAGAGCUAAAAUUGACAUGUUGUAGAUGUGUUUACUGAGACCGGACACGUGAAUCCUGCAGCUGGGUUGAAUUUUGCGCUUGGAAGGUCUAAAUACAUACUUUUUGUAGGUACAGUUUACCCAGUCUCAAUUUGUCUCUUGUAUUUAUUCCACAAAUUUACCCUGUGGUCCUUAACCAGGAAAACCAGGUGAGGAGCCUGUCCCUCUGCGCUGCCUGUAGCUGCAGCAGCACUGUUCCCUAUGUUCCAAGGACAUUGCUGUAAAGGAUGGUGAGGAUGACCCUAACUGGCCUGUGAACUGAAGACUUGGAUUAUCCUUGGGGGUUUUUAGCUCAGUUUCAGGAAUGUUUGUAGUUCUUCCUGACGCUGUGAUCACUUUUUUUGUCUUUAACUGUCUUAACAGCAGGAUAGGCUCUCAAAGCACAACACAGCAGUCCUCCCUUGGCCUAGAAGAGACCAAAAUUGAAGGAAAUUUAAUGCUGCAAGAAUUUGUAACACGAUACACGUUCCCGUUUCUUGUACACCACUCCAUAAAAGCAACUUAAGUACAGUUUAACUGUCAUUACAUAGCUGCACAAGAGAGAAACGAAUUUUUUUUGUUCUUUCACGAGCUACAGAUUGCUCCUGUUUAGCUACUCAAGCUGUAGCACAGGCUCACACAAAUGACACGGUAUUGCACAGCAAUGUAAAAUUAAGCAGUAAAGAAUUUAGGAAGAAUGUUUCCUUACUCUUAGAAGCAGCUUUGCAAUUUGCUAUAGAGUUAAAUGCUUCCAUUGUUUUCCUUCCCCCUUGUGUUUUUUGGUGUUUUUCACUGGGAUCCCACCCGUCGUUCCCUUGUAGGCUUUCUUCUCUCCACUUCCAAAGCACUGAUUGAUUUCUUUCGCUCUCUCGCUUACUACUCUGUUGUUACCAGGUUGCCGCAUGAAGUUGUUUACUGGUCAUCCCUAUGCUGUACAAAGGCACAAAUAAAUUGAGGGGAAAUGCUUAGAUUUGCUGUGGGAAACAGGAGGUGGUGGUAGGAAACUAACCAUUUUAUCACUUUUACAGCCUUUGAAGUUAUUUCCCCCCCCCCCCCCCCCCCCCCCGUUUGCAUUGCCCACACCUGUUGAUGUAGAUUUUCCACCUGUAUUUGUUAUCUUUCACUUCAGAAGUAUUUAAGGGAAACUGCACAAUUGCUGUUUACUAAGUACUGAACUGUCUGGGGGCCUAUUAUACAUACCAGUAACUCUUCUGACUUCCUCAUAAAUACAAAGUUUAUCAAAGCUCUAGUUUUUGUUUCUCUAGUGGGAUAAUAUCUUAUUUACAUUUAUUCACACAAUUUUGUUGUCUCCUGAAUUUUGUAGUAGCUGUAGACUUGCAUACAUACCAAUGAAGAAACAGGGUUUAUACUUUGAAGAUAAAAGAAGUGUCAGCAUGCUUGGGAGGACAGAAUUACGAGGAAGCAUUCAGCUUACUUCUGCUCAGGCACUGCCAGAAUAACAACAGAAAAAGCUGUCAAAAAUAACCAAAAAAUCCCACCCAAGUACAGCAGGAUCCAAAACAUCUUCAGCUUUGAAUGGGAUGGUGGAGCCUCUAGGUACUGUAGUGCAUCAGCACAUGAAAUCCAUGUGAGAAGGGGACAAGGACCUACAGCUCCAAACUCCAACUGCAUCUCUUCCACCUUCAAAAACAGUGGCCUUGUCCAAGGCUUAAAAGUCCAUGUGCAGAUUAAGUAAAAGGGACAUACAUCCUUUCAUUUCCUCCCAGUCAGUGAACCUCUUUACCUUGAUGCACUAAAGGGACUGCAGAACUGCAGAUGGACUGCACAGAAUCUUUCUGUCCCUGAGAGAAACACUAAGCCCGAUCAAUAGCAGGUUGAAUCUGAAGAAGACUGAACUUCUUCUGUGGAAGAAAUUUCUGGAUGAUAAACAUCUAUUGUAAACAAGACCCCUUCUGUAUGUUAACAGGCAUCCAUGUAGUUUCGUGUCUUUUUAAGACCAAAAAGUGGUAAUGGAAUGGGGAAAAGAAAAAUUAAUAAUGACCACCUGGGCCUGGUUCAACAGGAAAUAUACUCGGUGAAGAAACUCUGGAUCUGAAGUUGAGCUGCUGAAGUAACACCCAGUUAAUCAGCCCAGUGUGUGCUUAGAGGGAAUACAAUCCUUCAGGAAUGGAUGGGACCCACAGCCCAUCUAAUUCAUCUCUAAAAGUGAUCAUAACCAGAUGCAUUACAAAAUGGUGGGCGAACACUGAAGUAGCUCUACAAAGCUGUAUUAACUCCUAACUGUCUAUGACUAGCACAACAUGUGAUGUAUGAACUACUAAAAGCACUAACGGAAAAAAAUGUUUUUACAGAAAUGAAGUUGUCUAGGUUUCCUAUAUAGUUUUCUUGAUCAUAGCUUCUUAUGAGGUAACACUGUUUCUGGCACGUGCAUUGCAAGAAUUUGUCAAUGUUGUAUUUCAUUGAUUUUAAUGAAGAAAAUAGAAUAUGCAAAAACCUAAAAUGCAUGUUUAUCUUGUAGUUGACCUUAAGAGAGCUUUAUACG